rnacentral:rRNA from 1 species
UGGGGAAUAUUGCACAAUGGGCGAAAGCCUGAUGCAGCAACGCCGCGUGAGUGAUGAAGGCCUUCGGGUUGUAAAGCUCUGUCUUCUGGGACGAUAAUGACGGUACCAGAGGAGGAAGCCACGGCUAACUACGUGCCAGCGGCCGCGGUAAUACGUAGGUGGCAAGCGUUGUCCGGAUUUACUGGGCGUAAAGGAUGCGUAGGCGGAUACUUAAGUCAGAUGUGAAAAUCCCGGGCUUAACUUGGGAACUGCAUUUGAAACUGGGUAUCUAGAGUGCGGGAGAGGAAAGUGGAAUUCCUAGUGUAGCGGUGAAAUGCGUAGAGAUUAGGAAGAACACCUGUGGCGAAGGCGACUUUCUGGACCGUAACUGACGCUGAGGCAUGAAAGCGUGGGGAGCAAACA